UAUAAAAUAGUGACAGUUUCAGAUUUAUCAUUAGCUCAAUGUGGUAAUGCUACAUCCCAUUUGAGGAUUAGUUAAGAAUAAGUGCUUAGCGUAUGAUAGAAAAGUGCAUCUCAUGUUGAUC